rnacentral:misc_RNA from 1 species
GAUGAAGAACGCAGCGAAAUGCGAUAAGUAAUGUGAAUUGCAGAAUUCAGUGAAUCAUCGAAUCUUUGAACGCAUCUUGCGCUCCUUGGUAUUCCGAGGAGCAUGCCUGUUUGAGUGUCAUUUAACUUCUCAACCACAUUGGAUAUUUUUUUUCCGAUGCCGGCUUGGAUGUGGGGGUUGUUUGCAGGCUUUUUGUAACAAAAAAGGUCGGCUCCCCUGAAAUGUAUUAGUGGUAUCUGAGGCUAUUACUAUUAGGUGUGAUAAUUAUCUAUGCCUUUUGGGUAUGCCGCAUGAACAGAUUAUGCUGCUUCUAACGAAAACUAUUUUGAUGAAUUUGACCUCAAAUCAGGUAGGACUACCCGCUGAACUUAAGCAUAUCAAUAAGCGAGGA